AUAGACGACACAUGAUUGGUCGGUAAGCAACAACAAGUUAAAUAUUUGGACAUGUGUCUGUUCUUACAACCUUUGCAUGAACUAUCUUGCACAUUUGCGGAGGCUGAGCUCCACCCAUCGAAGGACGCAAGGAAAGGACACACGGAUGAAGGAAUCAAGGAAACACGUAUAGGGCAAUUGGAAAGUCUUUUUUUCUUUUACAGACAUGAGAGAUGGGGAGAGGCGGAUCCACAGGUGGAUCAUUAUACACCUUCCGAAAAAAUACUUCCGCAUUUCCUUGCUCCAAGCCCCCAGCUCCUUGAAUGAGCAUUUGGGUUGGAAUGCCCUUAAAGAUGGUGCACCUCAAUCGAUUUCCAGGUCUGUCAAGGACCACGGGAACAAGGGAUGAAUAAAAUAAGAGAUUUGAAUGCACCCGUGAUGACAACGCAUGAGUUCAGAUGUAAAUUUAACAUAUUUUUGACUCGUUCGAACUUCCGUACCAGGAAAGGAGGCGAGGGAAGGAAGCAAGGAGGUGAGAAAAUAAGCAGGCGGAAAGCACCGAAAGAGGCCAGAGGUUGCAGUAGCCCAGGCGGGAGAUGAGCAACCCUUGGAAUUACAGCUAACGAGUUGUGAAACGCUACAAGAAAUUGUGAAACCUUGAGUUUGUUAAACAGUGCUGACUUAUACAGUCCUCCUUAGUAUUUUGAGUAAUGUAUGCAUUUUUGGACACAAGAUAUACUGAAUUACUGUGUGCAACUUCAGGUUUUAUAUCUGUAAUGGAACACGCAAACUAUAUUUACAGUACUAUUUUACUGGUUGUAUUUUCUGGGCUUGUAGUCACAGUUAGAGGUACAGUCUACCAACAACUCUACGAGUGAGUAUCUUGGUAGAGUCAGCUUCUAACAGUUUUGACAACACAUCAUUUGCCACAGCACAUACCAAAGAAGCUUUCUGUCAGAACAGUGGAGACAGGGGAAACCUUAUGGGAAGAUAGCCUUCUAAAUGGGAAAUCAUAACGAGAUCUCAUGUCGAGAAUAGUUGCUAAAUUAUUGACCUUUAAUGCAAACAUUGCCCUCUCACAAAAACAGAAUCUGACAGUGAAAGCUUCUAUUUGUCAACUGAUACACAACAUCUGUCAUAAUGCUUGUGAAUUGGAUCCAGGUUUUUGAGUUUGUAUCACAGUAGUGCAUAUCGAGAAUAUCCUGUACAUUCCUAUAUGAAUGAAUAAUGGAACAUAGGCUAAAUUAAUAUGUCAGCUAAAAAACAAAAUAAAGUUGUUGUUUUUGUUCA